rnacentral:misc_RNA from 1 species
CUCUCUCUCUCUCUCUCUCUCUUUCUCUCCAGUUGCUCACUAGGGUUUUCCAGAGAGAAAUCUCCCAAAACAGUAGUGCACUUGAUAUUUAGCUUGUAGUAGAGAAGUUCAGUGUUUGGAAGUGGGGGUUCUCCAUUUUCCAGGGAUAGUAAUUGAAAACAAAGAACAAGAACUCUUUUAUAUAGCACAGGCCAAGAUGCAAGUUGUUCCUAGAGAGGGUGAUAAUGCUUUGUCUGUCUCUGGUCCAAGGCCAAUGGAAUGGUCUACUGUUCCUUACACUGGGCCACAAGGACCUGGGCCAAAUGGAAAGCAACGGACAUC